UAAAAUUUAGUUACACCAAGUAUUAGACUAAAGGUCUUUCCAUGUCAAACUGUAGCAACAUUUGUACAUUUAAAUUAAUCUUGAGGAUCAAUUAAAGUCAUUAUUUUUCAAGAUGAGUGGUGCUUACUGUAUAGCAUGUAAAAACAUGUACAACACACAUUUCAUUUUUAAUCGAAUUCCAAAGGAUGUUGAAAGGUGCAAAAAAAGUGCUCAACUGUCAGUGUCCAAACUUAUAUAUGGAAUAAGAAGUAUGUUAUUGUAUUUGCAGAUUGUGCUCUAUUCACUUAAAUUCAACACAAUACACGGGGAAACGCCUCAUCAACAGGUUUAAGGUAUCAAUAUCUAAUUAGUCCAAUUCAAGUAAAAUUGAUACCAGAAGCAAUUUGGUUUUUGAACUUGAAGAAAUCAAAAGAUUUUCUAGUCAGAUUAAAGAUUACAACACAAACAUAAUGAAUAAUCCAAAGAGAUUUAUGAAAAUUGAAGAGAAUAAUAGACAUAAUAGUUUCAUCACUGAGGUAAAUUUGGAACUUGUUAUAAAUGUUGUUAUCAACCAAACAUAACACUAUUAUGGGAUUUGUUCCUCGUUUCCGGCUAUAUAUAUAUUUACACUGACUAUAUAUAUUUUACUAUUAUGACUAGAAAAACUAAAGUUCAUUAAAAKAAAACAUAUUUAUCUUCAUUUCUCGGCAAAUCAAGUCUUUAACAAUUAAAGUUUCCCUUAACUUAUUUAUUAUAAUAGCAUAUGAUAUAGGUAAUAGUACAAACUACCCACCACUCAUAUUAAUGUACUAUUUUAUUAGUACAGUAAAACCUCGAUAAGACGGAAUCGUACGGGGCCAUGAAAUUUUUUCUUGUUAACAGGGUUUCCGUCUUGACGGGGUUAAAAAAAUUAAAUUAAAUUAAAUUAAAGAUUACGAAUGACACAAACGUAACAAUAUAAGAUUUUCUACUGAACCAAGCAACUCAGAUAAUAAUGUUGUAUAGUAUAUACUGUAUACAUAUCGAGUUUAUUAGUUUUUAAUAUCAUCGUACGCGCUCGUAUAUUGAUUAUCUAUGGGUAUCGACAAUACCAAAAUAAAUUUAUUACAUGAAAAUCAUGUUAUAUUUUCGUCUUAGUGAGGGUUUUCGUCAACUUGCAUAACAAAAAUGUGUCCGUUUCCGGCUUGGCGAGGUUUCCGUCUUAGCGGGAUAAAAUUAUAUUAUGUAAUUUGAAACAGGACCAAAAAAAUUUUCCGUAAUACUGGGGUUUCUGUCGUACCGAAGGUCCKUCUUAUCGAGAUUUUAUUGUAUUAAUUAUUUGGAUCAAAACUUAAUUUGUGUUAAAAUUUAUUAAUUUUGAAAAUGUAAUGUACAAAAUGUACAUUAUAAAGUACAACAAA